GGGGAAUCUUCCGCAAUGGGCGAAAGCCUGACGGAGCAAUACCGCGUGAGGGAAGAAGGUCUGUGGAUUGUAAACCUCUUUUGUUAGGGAAGAUAAUGACGGUACCUAACGAAUAAGCAUCGGCUAACUCCGUGCCAGCAGCCGCGGUAAGACGGAGGAUGCAAGCGUUAUCCGGAAUUAUUGGGCGUAAAGCGUACGUAGGCGGUUUUAUAAGUCUGUUGUCAAAGCCCGAGGCUUAACCUUGGAAAGGCAAUGGAAACUGUAAGACUAGAGAGAGAUAGGGGCAGGAGGAAUUCCAGGUGUAGCGGUGAAAUGCGUAGAUAUCUGGAAGAACACCAGUGGCGAAAGCGUCCUGCUGGAUCUCAACUGACGCUGAAGUACGAAAGCUAGGGGAGCGAAUGGGAUUAGAUACCCCAGUAGUC
rnacentral:rRNA from 1 species